UACGGGGGGGGCAAGCGUUGUUCGGAAUUACUGGGCGUAAAGGGCUCGUAGGUGGCCAACUAAGUCAGACGUGAAAUCCCUCGGCUUAACCGGGGAACUGCGUCUGAUACUGGAUGGCUUGAGUUUGGGAGAGGGACGCGGAAUUCCAGGUGUAGCGGUGAAAUGCGUAGAUAUCUGGAGGAACACCGGUGGCGAAGGCGCCGCUCUGGGCCGAAACUGACGCUGAGGAGCGAAAGCGUGGGGAGCGAACAGG
rnacentral:rRNA from 1 species